GAAAGAACUAAUACCUCAGUUAAGGGA
rnacentral:sRNA from 1 species